UAUAUAGUGACUAUGUAAGAGCUUUGCAAAGUAAUAGUUGUUUUGGAUGAUUGUGGAAUUUGUGAAAUAAAAAAGACAUUAUGUUUUGGAAAAAUUUGUAAGUUUGGUAGUAGAUCUAUGAUUUAAAUUUUAAGGACUUAUGUGAAUAGUUAUGUAAAGUGUAUGAUGUAAAUUUGAGCUUGAUCAAAUGGUUGAAUUAAAGGUUAUUGAAUUUCAAGUAGGUUGAGGUCUCAAAAA
rnacentral:lncRNA from 1 species